rnacentral:lncRNA from 1 species
GGACUUUUUAGACUAGUAUAUCCUGUAUAUUAGUGCACACAUACUUGCAUCACAGUGUCAGAGAGUUUGCUGCCAUCUGGAACAUCUGUCACUCAGAAAUUAUACAUGACAAAACAUUAAAAUACAGUCAAAUGAGCCAGGCAUGGUAUAGGGGUGCGUGCCUGUUAGUCCCAACUACUCAGGAGGGUAGGCAGUAGGAUUGCUUGAGUCUGGGAGUUUGAGACCAGGCUGGGCAACAUAGCAAGACACUGUCUCUAAAAAUAAAAAAUAAUCAUAUAGCCACAUAGCCACAUACUAACACAUAACUUGAUAACUGAUGAAAGGAAUUUAAGCAAAUCAGCUCCAUCUUAUCAGGAGCUGAUUUUUGGAGUGUAAAAGCAGAACUUCUGUUGCAUGAACCAGUAAUCAAUGUGGACUUUUAAAGAUAUCAGAAAACCCCAACAGGUUUACUUCAAAAUGUUCAAAACUUGUUCCCCUCUUAUGCUGGAAAGAAAGAGUUCUAAACUGUGAAAAUAACACACAUUCCUAAAUAUAUUAUUUCUUGAAGAUUUGUUGAAGAAGUGACCACAACUUAGUAUCUAAAAGAGAAGUGCAUUACUUAGUGCUUUUCAGGCCAAUGGUGUGAAAGAAGGAAAAAUUAUCUCUUGUCCUGGUUAAACAGACCCUAUACACCAGAGGUGGGGCUUUCUCAGCAUCUCUAUUUCUCAUCCCCAUGACAACGAAUCUCAGAUUUGUCUCUAUGGCAGAUAUCACAUAAUAGAGUGUUAUGUACUCAUUCAUGCAAAGCCUGUACAAUCAUUGCCUCUUGGACUAAAUAAUUUGCUUUUUAUUUACAGGUUUAUAAGUGGAAAUAGCCUGCCUUGAAUCUCAGAUGAGACUUCAGACCUUUGGACUUUUGAGUUGGUUCUGGAACAAGUUAGGACUUUUGGAGACUAUUGGUAUGGAAUUUUGGAUUGAGUUUGGAGGAAGGGAACCCAUAAUCCUGGCAUGCCAGCAAAAAGGCCAUGUAAAUCCAAAUGAUUAUGCAACCGGAGCCUCAGACAAUGGCGCCUUUUACUGGGGAACCUUGGCUAGGCCUCUGGAAGAGAUCUGACUGACUACUGUCUUCCCAAAACAGCAUCCCCUGUCAGUAGGAAGCUGUUAGGCUUGGUCUUCAUUCCUAUUCUAACAUCAGUUAGACAUACCUCUUCUUUUUUUUUUUUGAGACAGAGUUUCGCUCUUGUUCCCCAGGCUGGAAUGCAAUGGCGCAAUCUGGGCUCACCGCAACCUCCACCUCCUGGGUUCAGGCAAUUCUCCUGCCUCAGCCUCCUGAGUAGCCGGGAUUACAGGCAUGCGCCACCAUGCCCAGCUAUUUUUUUGUAUCUUUAGUAGAGACGGGGUUUCACCAUGUUGACCAGGAUGGUCUCGAUCUCUUGACCUCAUGAUCCACCCGCCUCGGCCUCCCAAAGUGCUGGGAUUACAGGCUUGAGCCACCGCGCCCGGCCUAGACAUACCUCUUUAGAGUGGGGAAUGACAGAGGUGGGAGGAAUGACAGAGGUGGGAGGCAGACAAAUGCCUAGACAGAUAAGGAAGUUUCCCUGGAGAAUCUCCAAACUGCUUCAUGAGUAUUUACAUAAGACUUGCCUCACAAUUAUUACACCAGAUGCUUUGUGCAGAUAAGGGAACCUGAACAGGGUCUUGCCCACAUGCAGCAUGGGAAUGGGAUGCAGCCACCAGGAAUUUAUGCCCUACGCUGGGGAGGAGUCUAACCUCUGUGGACUGGUAUUCAAUUUGUGAAGUGGAAACUUGUGUGAAAGACCCCUGUCUUUGCUGAGAGCUUUCCUUUCACUUAAUAAAUUCUGCCCUCCUAAACUUUCAAUGUGUUCUCACGCCUAAUUUUUCCUGAUCGGGAGACAACAACCCAGAUUUAGCUGAGCUAAGGAGCAAAAAGUCUUGCAUCAAUUACACAAAAAAAGCAACUAAGAAAUGUAUCAAAGAAAUUUGACAGAUAUUGAAAUAAUAAAAACAAAAUCGAACAAAAAUCUUGAAACUGAAAAGUACAUUUGCUGAACUUAAGAAGUCUUUAGAGGUUUUCAACAGCAGAAUAAACAAAGUAGAGGAAAGGAUCAUCGAGCUCAAACUCUGGCUAUUUGAAAGUACACGGUCAGAGAGAAGAAAGAAUAAAAGAGAAUGAAGAACACCUACAAAAUGUAGAAACUACCUCAAAAGACCAAAUGUAAGAAUCGUUGGUGUUCAAGAGGGAUCUGAGCACGAGCAAGGGGUAGAAAGUUUAUUUAAAGAAAUAACAAAAAUCUUUCCAAAACUUAAGAAAGAUAUAAAUAUUUAGGUAAAGGAAGAUCUUAGAACACCAAAUAGAUUCAACACAAAUAACACUACUCCAAGGCAUCUAGUAUUCAAACUCUCAAACGUCAAAAAAAAGGGGGGGGCGGGGGGAGAGAGAAGCUCCUAAAAGCAGUGAAAGAUAAGAAGAAACUGACAUAUCAAGGAAUUUCAAUUUGCCUGCCAACAUACUUCUCAAUGGAAAUUAUACAAUAAAAAAAAUAAAAUUGGGUUUAUAAUGAUGAAUUAUGGGAGGGGUACUUUUAGAUAGGGUGCUCUGAAAAGAACUUUCAGGGGAAAUAAUAUUUUUAUAAAAGGCAAAGAGAAAAAAAGUGACAAUCAGAGGGAAGAAUUUUGUAGGCAGAUGAAAAACAAAUGCAAUGGUUCGAAGUUAUGUGUGAGUGCAUGAGAAUUAAGUAGCAGAAAGAAGGUUCAAGCUGCUGGUGAGCAUGAGCAAGAAGGACAAGAUGAAGUUCAAGAGGGGAAUGGGUGCAGGUCUUGAGGGGCCUUCAAGACCCGUAAUGGAGUUUGGAUUUUAUUCAAGGUGAGCUGAGAGACAUUGGUGGCUUAUAAGCAAGUGAAUGGCAUAAUCUACAUUAUGUACCAAAGGAAUCACCCUGGAAAUGGAAUUUAGGAAGGCAAGAGUGAACACAGGGAGAAAAUUUGGGAGGCUACUUUAGUGGAAAAAGAUGUGAGUAGCACAGAGCAUCUUUCAUCAAGCUUACGUGGCCUUAGUUCUUCGAGAUUUAGGACAUAAGUUCUUUGUCUCUAGUAAAAAGGGAACCAGUUUCUUAGAUGUCUCAGGCAUUACAUAAAGCUAGCAUUGUGCUCUUUUGACCUUGACCCAUUUAGCAGCUGCAAGAUUUUGUAUUACCUCAUUGAGGCUGGACUGUGAACCUAGACAGGCGUGAGUUAAACGCCCAUUUAGAAGCUACAAGAAGUUGCCUGAUGGAAGUACAUGGGAUUUAGAGUGAGACCAUCUUGAUUUGGGUGUUGCCACUAACCAUGUGACCAUAAGUCACUCUUUAAGCAAAUUUUCUUUUGGGCAAAACAGAUAAUACUAGAAACCAUGACUGUUAUCUUUGUGAAAUCAAAGGAGAGGAGUAUUUUUUUUUUUUAUUUUAAAGAGUAGCCAACCUUGAUUGUGCCCAUACUACAUGCCCAGGUACUUAUCUAAUACUUUUAUUCCUUACACUGGACCUAUGCAUUACGGUCUUUUACUAUCCUCAUGUUUAUAUGUGAAGAAACUGAGUAAUAGUUAAGACACUUACACAAGAUCACAAAGGAAGUAACAGGAAGAGUGAGGGUGCAACCCUGGGGAGUCUGACUCUAGGAGGCAUGCUAAUAACUGUAGCCAUUGUUUUCCUUGCUGACCUAGGAGGUGUUGUGUGACAACGAGCUGCAAUCCUUACUCCAGCAAUGAAAAGCCAGAGAAGAAGCUCAGCUCUCACAUCUAAUCUCCCUAAAAGGGAGAUGAUUCAUGUAUCAUGAAUCCUCUGGUAACAAGAAAUUGUAUUACUCAUAGUUCCUUAUAUCAACCCCAGAGUUUGCAAUAUUUGAAUUCUGCUCCACUGAAGAGGUGGUGGCAGCUGAUAAAAGGAACAAACAUCAAGCUAAAAGUCUAUAGGUUGAUGAAAGAAAGUGAAUGUUGUAAGAGACUUCUCUCCAGUUGAAAAGUGACCUGCAAUGUAGACACAGGUAGUCCCAGAAACUAGCACACAUCUUAGUCAUCUUACUUUGGAUCUCUAAAUGUUGCUUCCAACUGAUGAUAUCUGACAUGUCAAGGCAUUCUUGACAGUUCUUGGGAUCUUUAUAGUCUCUAUUUAAUCUAUUCCCAUUCUGAUAUUUAUUAUUUCCUUUCUUCUACUAACUUUUAGUGUAGUUUGUCCCUU